AAACUAUGGUGUAGGCAACAUCUCAACAAGUCCUUGUACCUCUCCCACGCAUCAUACAUGCUCUCAUCAUCAAACUACUCAAAGAAGGAAAUAUCAGUACAUUUU